UCUUUAUUACGCUCAGCUUUUAUUCACAGUGAAUCAUUAUGAGGAAGAGGAAGGGUGGCAGUGAUGAUACUUUUCUCAGCAGCUUCAGAAAAAAAAGGAAAAGGACGAGAGAAAGUGAGAGAGUACAGGGAUGCAGACAGGAAAGUGAGCAGGUGACGGAGUUUAUCAGCUGCCUGAUCUUGCAGGAGACCCUCAGAUCCCUUAGCACCCCGCCGAGUUCUUCUGGUGGCCAUGUUGACAAAAAUCUCACCCCUCUGAUUCGUCCUGCAUUUAAACAAACCUA